rnacentral:rRNA from 1 species
UGGGGAAUAUUGGACAAUGGGCGCAAGCCUGAUCCAGCAAUGCCGCGUGUGUGAAGAAGGCCUUCGGGUUGUAAAGCACUUUUAUCAGGAGCGAAAUACUACUGGCUAAUAACCGGUGGGGCUGACGGUACCUGAGGAAUAAGCACCGGCUAACUUCGUGCCAGCAGCCGCGGUAAUACGAAGGGUGCAAGCGUUAAUCGGAAUUACUGGGCGUAAAGCGUGCGUAGGCGGUGAGUUAAGUCUGUCGUGAAAUCCCCGGGCUCAACCUGGGAAUGGCGAUGGAUACUGGCUCGCUAGAGUGUGAUAGAGGAUGGUGGAAUUCCCGGUGUAGCGGUGAAAUGCGUAGAGAUCGGGAGGAACAUCAGUGGCGAAGGCGGCCAUCUGGAUCAACACUGACGCUGAGGCACGAAAGCGUGGGGAGCAAACA